GACAGAGGCCUCGAGCGUUAGGCGGAAUCACUGGGCUUAAAGCGUGUGUAGGCGGAUCGUUAAGUACCUUGUGAAAUCCCACGGCUCAACCGUGGAACGGCUGGGUAUACUGGCGGUCUUGAGCCAUCUAGGGGCUACCGGAACAAAUGGUGGAGCGGUGAAAUGCGUAGAUAUCAUUUGGAACGCCAAUGGUGAAAACAGGUAGCUGGGGAUGUGCUGACGCUGAGACACGAAAGCCAGGGGAGCAAACGGG
rnacentral:rRNA from 1 species